CUGCCCCCAGUGGACCAAGGACUCACUGCUGGACUCUAAUCUGUCUAGGUAUUUUUGUGACUUGCAGAAAUACCGCCACCUUGCCUGGGCCUGGAGCCACCGGAGACCCUUCCGAAGGUGAGGAAUGUUCUGGAACAAUGCAAGGCCUGCCCAGGCUGCCCCCAGGAGCCAGCGUCCUGGGGUCUCUGUGCGGCAUCCAGCAACGUGAGCUUGCAGGACCCUGAGGAGCCCUCCUUCUGCUUGGAAGCUGAAGACGACUGGGAGGGUCCAGAGGCCCUGAGCUUACGGCUGCUGUUCCUGAACACCUCCGGAUACAAGGCCAGUUUCCGUGGCCUGUACAACGUGGCGCUGCCAUGGCUGAGCGGCAUGUUUUGCAGCUUUAGCAACGAGGAGGAGCUGACUGGGCACCUGGCACAGGCCCGAGGGGCGGCCAAGAAAGCUGGCCUCCCCAUGGCCCUGGCCACGCUCUGCUUCCUCCUGGGGCGGCUGUGCUGCAGGAGGCUCGAGCUGUCCCAGGCCCGGGUGUACUUUGAGGAAACACUGGGGACCCUGGAGGGCAGCUUCGGGGACCUGUUCCAGGUGGCGGCUGUGUACGCCAACCUGACCAGCAUUUACCGGAAGCAGAACCGGGAGAACUGUACACAGGUGGUUCCCAAAGCCAUGGCCCUGCUCCUGGGAAUGCCCGGCCACAUCUGCAGCACCGAGGCAGACGGGGAGCUCCUGCAGUGGGCGGUGGGUGGUCAGAGCCUGCAGGUCGAGGCCCAGGCCUGCUUCCUGCUGGCCAGGCACCACGUGCACCUCAAGCAGCCCGAGGAGGCCCUGUCCUUCCUAGAGCAGCUGUUGCUUUUGCACAGUCUGGGGAUUUUCAUUGACCUCCAGAAGAAAGAGGAGGCGCAUGCCUGGCUGCAAGCAGGGAAGAUCUACUACAUCCUGCGGCAGAGCGAGCUGGUGGACCUGUCCAUCCAGGUGGCACAGAAUGUGGUCCUGUACACAGGCGACUUCAACCUGGGGCUGGAGCCGUUUGAGGCAGCUGGAGACAUCUUCAACGAGGCCUGGGAGCGGGAGAAAGCCAUGUCCUUCUACCGGGAACGGUUUGAUGCAGCCGGGUACUACCAGCUGGCACUGGCAGCCGCCGUGGACCUGGGCAACAAGAAGGGCACAGCUGAAGACCUACACGCGGCUGGCCACCAUCUCCCACAAUUUCCUCCUGGACCACGAGAAGUCGCUCUUCGUCUACCAUUCAGCUCGUGGACCUCUCUUGUGGUGUCAGGAGAGCCACAGGCCAGU
rnacentral:lncRNA from 1 species